GAUGAAGAACGUAGCGAAAUGCGAUAAGUAAUGUGAAUUGCAGAAUUCAGUGAAUCAUCGAAUCUUUGAACGCACAUUGCGCCCGUCAGUAUUCUGGCGGGCAUGCCUGUUCGAGCGUCAUUACGCCCCUCAAGUCCCCUGUGGACUUGGUGUUGGGGAUCGGCGAGGCUGGUUUUCCAGCACAGCCGUCCCUUAAAUUAAUUGGCGGUCUCGCCGUGGCCCUCCUCUGCGCAGUAGUAAAACACUCGCAACAGGAGACCGGCGCGGUCCACUGCCGUAAAACCCCCCAACUUUUUAUAGUUGACCUCGAAUCAGGUAGGACUACCCGCUGAACUUAAGCAUAUCAAUAAGCGGAGGA
rnacentral:misc_RNA from 1 species